GCCGAGGUGGCGGAGCCUGGAUUAACGCGCGGGACUUGAGAUCCCGUGUCCCUUUGGGACGCUUGGGUUCGAAUCCCAACCUCGGCG
rnacentral:tRNA from 1 species